rnacentral:rRNA from 1 species
UUGGAGGGCAAGUCUGGUGCCAGCAGCCGCGGUAAUUCCAGCUCCAAUAGCGUAUAUUAAAGUUGUUGCAGUUAAAAAGCUCGUAGUUGAACUUCNNNNNNNNNNNNUCGGUCAUGCUUUGGUAUGUACUGAUCUCAUUGGUUCUCACCUUCUAAAGAACCAUAAUGUCAUUCAUUUGAUGUUAUGGGGAAUUAGGACUGUUACCUUGAAAAAAUUAGAGUGUUUAAAGCAGGCUUACGCUUGAAUACAUUAGCAUGGAAUAAUGAAAUAGGACAUCCGAUUCUAUUUUGUUGGUUUCUAGGAUCGAUGUAAUGAUUAAUAGGGAUAGUUGGGGGCAUUAGUAUUCAAUUGUCAGAGGUGAAAUUCUUGGAUUUAUUGAAGACUAACUACUGCGAAAGCAUUUGCCAAGGAUGUUUUCAUUAAUCAAGAACGAAAGUUAGGGGAUCGAAGACGAUCAGAUACCGUCGUAGUCUUAACCAUAAACUAUGCCGACUAGGGAUCGGAUGAUGUUGAUUUUUUAAUGACUCAUUCGGCGCCUUACGGGAAAC